GCGGGCGUAGCCGAACUGGUACAGGCGCACGGCUUAGGACCGUGUGGCGCAAGCCAUGGAGGUUCGAGUCCUCUCGCCCGCACCA
rnacentral:tRNA from 1 species